rnacentral:misc_RNA from 1 species
AAGUCGUAACAAGGUUUCCGUAGGUGAACCUGCGGAAGGAUCAUUAAUGAAUUUUUAGGGCGCUCUUUUUAGAGGUCCGACCAAUUUCAUUUCCACACACCGUGAACACACUUCAUUUUUCACACAAUUUAUAAACACACAAGUCUAUGAGAAUGUAUAAAGUCUCUUAAUUGAGCAUAAAGUUAUAAUACAACUUUCGGCAACGGAUCUCUUGGCUCUC